AACCCCUUUUCUCUUUAAAGAACCCAGAAGGCCAGAACCCUAAAAGCUUUGAAGAACCCCAGUCCUCACCCCAGCACUCCGCGAAGAACUCCAGCCCUCCAAAGAACAUCGCCGGCGCUCGCGAUGCCUCCGUUGUCAAUCUCUCUUCCGGCACUCCCACCAUCGCUGCUUCUUCGGUGGUGAUUCUCUUUGGUGGUGACUCCCUCAUCGCAAGUCUCUCUGGUGGUGACUUUCUCCGAGAACGAUGAAGAUUCGAGCCCUAAAUUUAGGGAGCGAAGAGGGGUUCUCCACUUGUUCCGGAGCUCCUCUCACUCCUCGAUCCCAAGCCUUAGCUCUCACUCUUCUCUUGUCUUCAUUCUCACCGUUCCCAAUCACAUCUCCUUCGAUGACCUCAUUCGCUGGUGCGGGCCCUACCUCCACCAUCUCCAUCGCCUCCUCUUCAUCAGAUUUUGUAGUGUGAUUUUUUAGGGUAGGUAUAGGUGAAAUAAAGAAGAUGGCUUUUCCAGGAGCAAAUGAAUCCAUGUCAGGAGCCCUUUAUUUACAAAAAGGAGAAGAUAUUCAAUCUGAAAGGCAUAGCUUUGGGUAAUCCACUUGUAGAAUAUGCCACUGACUUCAAUUCAAGGGCUGAGUUUUUUUGGUCUCACGGAUUAAUAUCAGAUUCCCUUUUUACUUUAGUUUUUUUUACUUGAUUUUUUUUGUUCCUUUUUACUUGAGUUUUUUUCCCUUCCUAUAGCCAAACAGAAAGAAAAUGAGAGCAUCGAUGUGUGCGUAGAUGACAAAGUUAUAAAUUAUUUGAACGGAAGAGAUGUACAGCAGGUGCUCCAUGCCAAGCUCAUUGGAGUUCGGAAGUGAGAUGUCUGCAGCAAGUAAUCUUAUCAAACUUUGGAUGAACAAAGAAAAAAAAUAACAGUAAAAUAGAGAAUGAAAAUUGCACCAAAUUUAUUUUUCCUCUUUGUAUCUCUAUUGUUCUGCAAACAAGAAGUUCCACUUGUCUUUCUUUACUUCUUAUUUUGACUUUUUCCUUUCUAUAUGAGCCCUUUUUUUUAAUUUAUGUUUAUAUAUAUUUUUAUGUUUUUCUUUUGCUCAUGAUAAUUUUUCUUAGCUCUUGGUUUAUUAGAUACAUAGAUCUAGUGCAAUAGAUAGAAAUAGAAGCCAAUUGGGGUUGUUGUAAGGACUUUCAGGCCUGUGAGAUCAGCCACUUCCAACACCCCCUAACUCCCUCUUCCAUUCUUGUUCAUUUUUUUCUGUUUCCUUUUUUCCUCUUUCUUUCUCUCCCCUUCCAUUAUUAUUCUACUCUACUCCCUCUUUAAUUUUUCUCUUUCUUUCUUUCUUUCUCUUGUCGCCUUGUUGUAGGGUGUGUCUUCUUUCUUUCUUUAUUUUUCUUCCCCCCUUUGAAUUUUUAUCCUUUUUCAUGUUAUGGGGUUUUUUAUUUGUGCUCAGAAGGUUCUUGUGAUUAGUGCUCAGAAGGGCAAAGGAAUGCAGUUCCAAAGGUAAUUUUCUCCACAACUUGUCCUAUUGUUAAAGCACAUGUUAUAAUUUUUUGGUUAAUUGUGCAACCUUUUUAUGUUCCGGAUAGAAGUGGAAUACUCACUACACUUUGCGAUCACUCCUUUCAAUGCCCUUGUGUUUCAAAGUGGACAUACUUGUCUUGCCCGAUUUUGGAUGAAUACAACCGACUUCUAACAUCUCAGUUGGAAACUCAAAGACAAGUAAGUUGACACUGAUGCUCCUGAAACUCAUUCUUUGGGAUAUUUUAAUAACUAUGGAAAACAGUCUCUGCUUUGGAUGUAUGAACUAUAGACUAUAUUAUAUCAUCAAGGUUGACUGGAAACUACUUGU